CGUUGUGAGAGGAUUUCCGAUCUCAUCCCAUAACGGAGUCCCGAAGCCAACUCACCCACACCCAAAAGAAAAGAGAGCCGCCAGCAGCCCGAAUCAGGCCAUGCCCUUGAACCUAGUUCAAGGGCGAUAGAAGAGAGAGCGAUGGGGAUCGGCAGCCGGGAGCAUUAAACAGAACAGCCAAGAGGGGGUUCAGAAAAAAAAAUUCCCGCAACGGAGGAGCAUGCGCGCCGGACCUAGUGACUUAGCGAUUUUUUUUUGUUCUGAAAGAAAAAGGGAUCCAGAUCAGGGAAAGACCAGGAACCAGGACCAGGAAGCAUAAGAGGAAUAGGUCACAGCUCCGCCACCCUGGCUUGUUUUUUCUGCUGGUCUCGAAGGAACAGACCUGGCCACGUAGUGCGGGACCCUCGCCCACUUAGGGAGAAGAAAAAAAUCACAUCAACUCAUUUACUCCCAUUAAUUAUUUUUGUUGGACGUCUCCAGUUAUAAGUAUAUGUAUGUAAUUUA